CAGCCAAGCAGUCAUUUCGCUGCCAGACAGAGAGGAAAAAAGCCACGCCAUGGGUCUUGAGCUGGUCUCUGAUGAUCAAUAACACCUGCUGCCACGAAGUCAACACACUCCCUUUCACUUCGGUCGGGCAAGAGAGAUACACACGGGCAAGACCGACUCCUCCCGCCGCAACGGACGUCGCUGAUGGCUUGCGCUGGAAGACGAGCUGUAUCACUGUGGGGAAGGACGCCCGUAUGCAAAUUGCAACAACGGGACCAAGGCUGGGAGCCAUGCAAAAUCCGGAACAACGUCGCCCUAAGGAGCAAGGCCAUGAGAGGAAAAUGCCAGACCGGAGCAGAGCCGCGUACAGCCAAGAUUGCGCUGCUACAACUAUAAAUACUGACGCCAGUUUAUGGACUGAUGUACACGUAUUGUCUGCAUUGCUAGUAUUUGACUUUACAGACACAAAUACGUAUUGUCUAGUCUAUUAUGUGUAUCAAAGAAUAUACAAGUAAUGUAAUUGACUCAGACGACGACGGUCCAAAUCAAACCAUGUGUGGAUUUACGAAUGGUGGAAAUCCCAUACAAACGCACGUAAGGUCUCAUUGAUGAGUUUUUAACUGCAUUGGGAGUAAUGGCAUGCAAAAAUACGUGUUUCACAUGGGCGCGUACAAAAUGAACGCACUUGAAAAAUGUUUAUUCUAUCUAUUCUUUGUUGCGCUCAUUUACGUUUUAUCUUGUAAAAAAAUUACGACAACAGCUAAACAUUCAGUCUUAUAUGACAAUUAGAACAUGCAUGAAGUUAGUACACACCGCAACGGGGACUGCACAACUCAGAACUGUGUGCCUCCGACCCAGACCGCAGCUACCGAACAUUGCCUGCUAAUUUCUUGAAGCAGAAAGAAACUUUCACCAAUCUAACGUUAGAGAUCAGUUGGGCUGGAUAAAAGGAAAAUUCUCAUCGCUAAAAAACACCUCCGUGCAGCCGCUUACUUUUUUUGGGCCGUAAUUUGGAGUAAUACAUCAACGGGACCUUACAAAUAUUAUGUAUGCAAGCUGAUGUUGCAUUUCAGUCCGUCACUUGCAACAAGCUAGAUACAACGCAAUGGUUGCUGUAUGUACCGGCAUGUAUUUGUCUAUAUUGUGCCAUGAUUAUUAUUCUCAGACGGUUUCCGGUAAUUCGUUAAAUUUGAUAAUGUGAACUGCAACAGACCGAGAUAAAGUACUAGUAACCAAUGUUGUGUGAUGUGAGCGGACAGCUGUGUAACUGUCUGUCAGGUAAGACAGAAUAUAAAGACGAGAGAUUUAUUUCUAAGGCAAUUCAGGAGAGCAACAGACCGAGUGACAUAGCAUUAUGACGUCGCAGUUAGUAUACGUUCAAAGUCUCCCGUGCCCAGUGUACGGAAAUCCCUA